UCUGGUUGAUACUGCCAGUAGUCAUAUGCUUGUUUCAAGGACUAAGCCAUGCAAGCCUCAGAAUCACUGCAUUUGCAAGAAUCUGCGCAUGGCUCAUUACAUCAGACGUAAUCUGCCGCAAGAACGUUGCGGUGCAAACCGUAUUAUUGGAUACCUUGGCGAAACGCCAAGCUAAUACAUGAACAAAGCGGUGUUCUCCACAAAAAUGCUACACGUUCGCUUCGGCGGGCGUGGGCAGCGAGACACUGAGCGAAUGAAUGGAAUUAGAACCAACGCCGGCAACGGCAGCAAGACACAGUAGUGUUGACUCAAUUCAUUCUGCGAAAGCUGGUUUACCAGCGCUUUUUGACGAACAACUGCCCUAUCAGCCAGUGAUGGCCGUGUAGUGGACUGCCAAGGCGUUGACGGGAGCGGGGAAUUAGGGUUCGAUUCCGGAGAGGGAGCCUGAGAAAUGGCUACCACUUCUACGGAGGGCAGCAGGCGCGUAAAUUGCCCAAUACCGAAACAAAAUGCUGAGGCAGCGAAAAGAAAUAGGUUUCUCAGAUGCCAUACGGUGUUUGAGAUUUGCAAUGGGGGAUAUUUAAACCCAUCCAAUAUCGAGUAACAAUUGGAGGACAAGUCUGGUGCCAGCACCCGCGGUAAUUCCAGCUCCAAAAGCGUAUAUUAACGCUGUUGCUGUUAAAGGGUUCGUAGUUGAACUGGGGGCUGACGAGUAAACGAAGGCGUCUCUUCCUUCACGGAAGGACUCAACCUACGUACUUGCAGUCCGAGAACAUCAGAAACGAACAUCACGGAAACGUUCCUUCCCGACUCACGCAUGCAACGCAUGUAGGGGGGCGUCCGUGUUCAUUACUGUGACAAACGAAGGGCGACUCAAGCAGUCAUUCGACAUGAAUUAGAAAGCAUGGGAUAACAAAGCAGCGGCCUGUGGGCUACCAUUCUGGCUUUUGUUGGUUUUAACGGUCUGUGGGAGAUUGUGGAUGCGCAGGAACGGCCGCUCGGGGCUUCGGCACCGACGGUCUCUGGCGGCUUUCGGGCCGUCAGACUUGCUGUGUCCAGGAAUGAAGGAGGGUUGUUUCGGGGGAGAACGUACUUGGGCGUGAGAGGUGAAAUUCAUAGACCGCCCAAAGACGAACUACAGCGAAGGCAUUCUCCAAGGAUACCUUCCUCAAUCAAGAACCAAAGUGUGGAGAUCGAAGAUGAUUAGAGACCAUUGUAGUCCACACCACAAACGGUGACCCCCAUGAAUUGGGGAGUAUUUUUUGGUCGAAGUUACCAGGUUCGUCCUGGGCAACUUUACCAAAGAGAACAUUUUGCGUAUUCCAACAACGGGCUUCGGCCCAAAUUCCGGGAAUAUCCUCAGCACGUUUUCUGACUGUUUAACGCGAAAGCUUUGAGGUUACAGUCUCAGGGGGG
rnacentral:rRNA from 1 species